UACAGAGGGUGCGAGCGUUAAUCGGAAUUACUGGGCGUAAAAGCGCGCGUAGGCGGCUUUGCAAGUCGAGUGUGAAAUCCCCAGGCUCAACCUGGGAACUGCAUUCGAGACUGCAUAGCUAGAGUAUGGGAGAGGGAAGUGGAAUUUCAGGUGUAGCGGUGAAAAUGCGUAGAUAUCUGAAGGAACAUCAGUGGCGAAAAGCGACUUCCUGGACCAAUACUGACGCUCAUGUGCGAAAAGCGUGGGGAGCAAACAGGGAUUAAGAUACCCC
rnacentral:rRNA from 1 species